rnacentral:lncRNA from 1 species
GAAAAUAAAUAGAUUCUUCAAUUUAUAUAAUAGAUAGAUCCCGAAUUGAUUUAAUACAUUCUCAUAUUAAAUGUAUAUUAGAACUCACAUUUCAGAAUUUAAAUAAAAUGAUUUAUCAUCUACGGACUCGUGUCCCUCUCUAACAAUUGGGCCUUCAUCGAUUGAAGAGUUUUGUGUUCCAGAGUCUAAUUGCCCCCAUGGAAGGACAUGCUCAGAUUCCAUGUACUUCAUCUUCUUCUGACUGUUCUGAAGCGCCAUCUCAAACUCCUUUAUGCGCUGAAGGACAUGUUAGAAUAUAAAGAUUAUCUAUUUAAAAAGUUGUCAGAACAAAACUCAGCAAUUGAAAAACAAUGAUAAGAGUUCCACAUCUGCACCAGCAACACUCUCCUGCAAUGACCAUGUUAAGUCUAUCAAAAUCUUCACAAGGUGCCUGUGUAUUGCUGCAAGCAAGAAUCAUAAAGCAAGCUCUGCUUUUAAUUAAAAUGAAUCAGCAGCAUACCUUGAUAGAAACUUGACUAGUAAACUACAACACCAUUCACAUAUUCUUAAAGAUGAAUUAUGUUAGGUCCUGAGGGUCUCGAAUAGGUGUAUGGGGGGAAUACACCUAUAGGCUAUUUUUGACUUAAUCUACUGACCUCAAUCAGAGGGAUCUCAGUCAGAGAUCAAAACAAAACUUUGCACGCAAACAAGGACUCCUGUUUUACUGAAAUCAGUUUUGACCAACAGGGUUGACGACUGAUACUGAAAGCUCUUCAGUAAUGAGUUAUCAGUUAAGUUGCUGGAACUUAACUGAUCCAAGUAAAGGCUUCAGUCGUGUUUGCUAAGAUAGAGAUGAUAUCACUCUUCCUUACUAUCAGAGGAUAGUUCAGUCAGAUUGAUAUCAUACGCAGCGGAAAUUAAACUUAGUUUCGCAAUAGCCUCGGUGGAGCAAGUUGUUGGAUUAAGGUUUCUCUUUGCUAUUAGUCAGUGUUCAGUUUUAUCAAUGAAAUAGCACAAGUAAGUAUGUAAAACUGAAAACUGUAAAUAACACAGAGACUUUUACGUGGUUCGGAAAAACCCUUUCCUACAUCAACGGCUGGUUGAUCAGACCAACAAUCCACUCCGCAAGUGCUUCACUGGUGCACUGCAAACCGUACCCGUGUGCUUGCCUGGUGCACACAACCGUAAACUGAAAAAAACCCUUCUUCAGCACCCACACACCUCGCGUAGGAUUUCCCUGCUAAGCACACCUCGUGCUCAGACUUUUCACUCAGAGUUCAGAGUACCGUGGGCAAGUAUAACAUGUCCACCACUGAUUGACAAUUUUAAUUAGGAAAGAGAAUUAAUAAAUCUUACUCUAAUUAAAAUUAUCUUACUAUAAUUACAAUUGCCACAUCAUGGUGGACACGUUAUGCAUGCCCACGGUGGGUAGGCGAUCGUUUCUGAGUUAUAAUAUUAUAUCUCAAAUAAUUUAAUGCUAUGUCACUCAUGGAAAAUAUUAUAGUUAUCUGACGUGAGGAGCCUCUACACUCCCUAACAUGUGGUGGCAAUUUGGACACACAUAUAUAAAAUUAAGGUGCAUCAGGUACCAAACAGGCUGGUUUAUGGAGUAAUAGCCGAAAGCAAAAGAAGGAGAAAUAUUGGUGAUGCGGAUUUACGCCGCAAGCAAUAAUAAUAACUUUUUUUAUAUAAGCAUGCCCAAGAGGAUAAAAGAAUUACCAGCAGUAGGAAAGAAGUCACUCCAAGAUAAGUCAGGACACAAUAUAUUUUUAUUUUGAGGGGGAACUUAUAUACUUAUAAGUAUAAUAGCUAAAAUUUCAAAAUUGGCAUAUCAUUUCUAGGGUCAUAGUGCAGGAAGCCUGAUCAAAAUAUAUACAUCAUGUACAAAAAUCUUACUUGAAAAAGCAUUGCUCAAUUUUCUAGCCAAGCCUCUUGACAAUUAUUUAUAGGAUUAAUUAUACUUUAUAGCAUGAACCAUAAAAAGUGAACAACAUUUAUAAAAUUCAAGCCACUUUUAUCAGUUUCUAAAGUUUGGGCAGUAAAGUUGCCCUCUAGUUAAGGUUAGGCCAUAAAUUAUAAUCAAUCCUUAUUCUUAAUCAAACAAUGAGGUGCAAAAGUUUUCAUUACAACAUAAUAUUUUGCUAUUCAAAUCACUGAAUCUAUAAGUAGUUAAAAAAUCAUUACCAGGAUUAUAAUGGCAGCAACAAUCAUAAAUUAGAAGUAUGUUAGUUCAAAACCAAAUUAGAAAGACAUCCAAGUCUACUAGUCCCAGAAAUUCAUAGAAAAUAUAAUCUCAAACGGUUUGGGAGCUAAACCUUAAAAUAUAGCCACCUGAUAGUUGGUAUAAACAUAUUGUUACGGACAUGCACAACCAUCUAACCCUUUUGUCGUUUCAUAAAAAAACAAGAACAAAUAAAUGUGCUUACCCCUGUUAGAUUGCAAAGUUUCCCUUUCAAACUGGAAGAGUUCAUGCUUGAUUCCAACCUCUGCAAUUCAGCUUCAAGCUUUCUGUUUCGAUUUCACAUAAAGAUUUCUACUCAGCCUCCUCAUGGAAUUAAAAUGGAUUGAUUGGAAACUGGAAACGAUUUCCUGUAAAAUAAUAAAUGAUUGACUAAAACCCUAAUUAUCACAAAAUGGGUGUGGGAGAGUCUCAAUGGGAGUCUAUGAUGCCUCCGACAACGGUUUAUAAUGAUUUUAUUGCAAAUGAAUUACAUUACAUUACAUAUAUUAAGAAGAAAACACAUUCUUAGACAUUAAAAAUCAUGAAUGACGGGAAUUUUACAUCUUUCCUAAUUAAAAGAUCAUUUUUUCUUGAAUUGUAAAUCUUUCCUAAAUAAUGAACACCAUGAAUUAUGAAAAUGCGAUGAUUGACACAAAUUUACAUGCACCUAAAUGAGUUGCAAAAUUAACAUAUAGUAUUAGGAAAAAAUCACAUUCUUAGAUAUUAAAAAUCACGAUUGACGGAAAUUUCAAAAACACAUUUCUAAAAAUUUUCAUCUUUCCUAGUUAAAAGAUUGAUUUUGAUUGAACCGUAAAUCUUUCCUAAAUAAUGAAAAUCAUGAAUGAUGGAAAAUGGAUGGUGGAAGUUGACCUUCAACGGAUGGAAAAAUACGCUGUCUCCGGCGGCUGGGCGGGGGCCGAACCCGGGGUAGCCUCAUCUGGGGUUCCGUCUUUUAUGCGAGUUUGAAAUAAGAUCGGCUGCAUUUCAAAAUUCCAACCAACCGAGACGCACCCAGAAAAUUAGAGCUCUGAAAUCUGAGCUUGGGCGGCCGAGCGCCACCAUCAGCUAUCUUCGACGAUGAGGUUUCGGGUGGCGACUGAGGGGAAAAGGGAGCGACGAAUCGCGGUGGAAGGUGGCAGAUCGCGGCUGCGCCCGGUGGGGUGAAUCACCGGUGGAAAUCUGGUGGAGGAGAGGGGAAAAGGGAGCGACGUAUCGCGGUGGAAGGUGGCAGAUCGCGGCUGCGGCCUGUGGGGCGAAUCAUCGGUGGAAAUCUGGUGGAGGAGAGGAGAAGGGAAAUCUGGUGGAGCAAGGUCGAAUCAUUACAAU